GACGAACGCUGGCGGCGUGCUUAACACAUGCAAGUCGAGCGGGCCCGCCCCUGUUUUUGGGGGUGGGUUGAGUGGCGAACGGGUGAGUAUCACGUGAGUAACCUGCCCCCUGCUCCUGGAUAACUGCUUGAAAGGGCGGCUAAUACGGGGUGUGCCGGCUGGUCCGCAUGGGCCUGGUCGGGAUAGUUUCAUCUUCGGGUGUUUCGGUGGGGGAUGGGCUCGCGUCCUAUCAGCUUGUUGGUGGGGUGAUGGCCCACCAAGGCGGUGACGGGUAGCCGGCCUGAGAGGGUGGGCGGCCACACUGGGACGGGGACACGGCCCAGACUCGUGCGGGAGGCAGCAGGGGGGGGUAUUGAACAAUGGGCGGAAGCCUGAUGCAGCGACGUCGCGUGAGGGAGGGAGGCCUUCGGGUUGUGAACCUCUUUCUCCGGUGGUGAAGGCCCUGUCCGUUGCGGCGGGGUUGACGGUAGCCGGGGAUGAAGCGCCGGCUAACUACGUG
rnacentral:rRNA from 1 species